rnacentral:tRNA from 1 species
GAGGGUAUAGCUCAAGUGGCAGAGUGCAUGCUUAGCAUGCAUAAGGUCCUGGGUUCAAUCCCCGGUACCUCCU